rnacentral:lncRNA from 1 species
GCCGGCCGGAAGCGUCGCCCUGGCAACGCGGCGGCUCCCCGCGGGUCCUGGCGGCCGCAGCCCUGGGGUCAGGUCGCCGGGACUGUUGCUAGGCGUCACUAGGUCUUCAGAGAGGUUUACCUGCUGCUGCAGUGAGGGUUGCGGAGGUUGUGCCUACAAACUCCAUCACUUCUCGAUGCUUCUGUCAGUUAAGCAGCUCGGCUCUUUCUCCACAUCAGGCGGAGGAACCCAGAGGCCUGGGCUGCAGUGGGUUUCAGGCUGGAGAGAGGGCUCAGCGGUUAAGAGCACUGACAGUUCUUCCAGAGGUCCUGAAUUCAAUUCCCAGCAAUCACAUGGUGGCUCACAGCCAUCGGUAAUGGGAUCUGAUGCCUUCUUCUGGUGUGCCUGAAGACAGCUACAGUGUACUCCUAUAUAAAGUAAAUAAAUAAUUAAAAAAAAUAAC